rnacentral:rRNA from 1 species
AGUCGAGCGAACAGAAAAGGAGCUUGCUCCUUUGACGUUAGCGGCGGACGGGUGAGUAACACGUGGGCAACCUACCCUAUAGUUUGGGAUAACUCCGGGAAACCGGGGCUAAUACCGAAUAAUCUCUUUUACUUCAUGGUGAAAGACUGAAAGACGGUUUCGGCUGUCGCUAUUGGAUGGGCCCGCGGCGCAUUAGCUAAUUGGGGAGGUAACGGCUCACCAAGGGGACGAUGCGUAGCCGACCUGAAAGGGUGAUCGGCCACACUGGGACUGAAACCCGGCCCAAACUCCUACGGGAGGGAGCAGUAGGGAAUCUUCCACAAUGGGCGAAAGCCUGAUGGAACAACCCCCCGUGAGUGAAAAAGGUUUUCGGAUCCUAAAACUCUGUUGUAAGGGAAAAACAAGUACAGUAAUAACUGGCUGUACCUUGACGGUACCUUAUUAAAAAGCCACGGCUAACUACCUGCCAGCAGCCGCGGUAAUACCUAGGUGGCAAGCGUUGUCCGGAAUUAUUGGGCGUAAAGCGCGCGCAGGCGGUCCUUUAAGUCUGAUGUGAAAGCCCACGGCUCAACCGUGGAGGGUCAUUGGAAACUGGGGGA